UGUAGCAACGGGCGGAGGUCCGCGGCGGCGGUGUUCGUCAUCCAGAGUUUAUUAACGGCCGCUUGUGCCGCCUUCAGCCUCAACGUCUUCCUCAACCAGCAGCACCAUCAGCAGCAACCGGAGUCAACAAAGGACAGAGGGAUAUUCAUGCAAAUAGGAGGCACAGAGUUAGGUGAGCUGAAAUUCAUGGCGCUCUGGAACCACAGUGUUGAUCUAAACAAUGAGAAGACGGUGAAGCUGUCCUGUGCCGGACCGUACAUUGUCUAUCUGUGGGCAUGUGUGAACAGCUACAACACUGACACAGUUGUCAACCUGACAUUGGAACAGGGGAAUCAAUCCUUCCACCUGCAGACCCUGCAAA